rnacentral:rRNA from 1 species
AUUGAACGCUGGCGGCAGGCCUAACACAUGCAAGUCGAACGAGUGGCGGACGGGUGAGUAAUUUCUGGGAAACUGCCCGAUGGAGGGGGAUAACUACUGGAAACAGUAGCUAAUACCGCAUAUCAUCGGAUGUGCCCAGAUGGGAUUAGCUAGUAGGUGGGGUAACGGCUUACCUAGGCGACGAUCCCUAGCUGGUCUGAGAGGAUGACCAGCCACACUGGAACUGAGGCACGGUCCAGACUCCUACGGGAGGCAGCGAUGGGGAAUAUUUGACAAUUGGCGCAAGCCUGAUGCAGCCAUGCCUCUUGUAUGAAGAAGUCCUUCGGGUUGUAAAGUACUUUCGGCGAUGUGGCGUUACUCGCAGAAGAAGCACCGGCUAACUCCGUGCCAGCCGCCGCGGUAAUAC